UACAGAGGUCUCAAGCGUUGUUCGGAUUCAUUGGGCGUAAAGGGUGCGUAGGCGGCGAGGCAAGUCUGGUGUGAAAUCCCGGGGCUCAACCCCGGAACUGCACUGGAUACUGCUUUGCUAGAGUACUGGAGAGGGAACUGGAAUUUACGGUGUAGCAGUGAAAUGCGUAGAUAUCGUAAGGAAGACCAGCGGCGAAGGCGAGUUCCUGGACAGUUACUGACGCUGAGGCACGAAGGCCAGGGGAACAAACGGG
rnacentral:rRNA from 1 species